GAUGAACGCUGGCGGCGUGCCUAAUACAUGCAAGUCGAGCGAACAGAUAAGGAGCUUGCUCCUUUGACGUUAGCGGCGGACGGGUGAGUAACACGUGGGUAACCUACCUAUAAGACUGGGAUAACUUCGGGAAACCGGAGCUAAUACCGGAUAACAUUUGGAACCGCAUGGUUCUAAAGUGAAAGAUGGUUUUGCUAUCACUUAUAGAUGGACCCGCGCCGUAUCAGCUAGUUGGUAAGGUAACGGCUUACCAAGGCGACGAUACGUAGCCGACCUGAGAGGGUGAUCGGCCACACUGGAACUGAGACACGGUCCAGACUCCUACGGGAGGCAGCAGUAGGGAAUCUUCCGCAAUAGGCGAAAGCCUGACGGAGCAACGCCGCGUGAGUGAUGAAGGGUUUCGGCUCGUAAAACUCUGUUAUUAGGGAAGAACAAAUGUGUAAGUAACUGUGCACGUCUUGACGGUACCUAAUCAGAAAGCCACGGCUAACUACGUG
rnacentral:rRNA from 1 species